AGGAUCAGCAUUAUUCUCACUAUUGCCAAUAAAACUAAAACACGGGGCCACUCCAGGGUGCACUGGGCAGUUUGGCACUGGUCUUGUCAGGGUGGUGCUGGAGAGGCUCAGCAAACUCUACCCUCAGCACACCCUCUUCUUACACAGCUGUGGCACAGGAGCCUCUCUAUGGCUGAAAUUUCUCCACAGUGGGUUUUUUUUGACUCGUGUCUGCUUCAAGCUCAGAAUUGAUUUCUUCAGAGAGGCACUUCAGUGAAGUUGACCCCUUAUAUGUGUCCAAACAAAGGAUUUUUUUUUGUAUGAAUUUUGGAAUUAGUCUGGAGUCAUUUUUCUGUGUGCCUAUUUCAUGAAUUUGUUUGUUUAAAAACUGCUGAAAAAAAUAGAUGUAAUUUUUUUUAUUAUUUUUCAGAAACUCUGGAGAAUGGACCAAAUAAGUGUGAAAGUGCAGCUAACAGAAAAGGAACCAGCAAAGACGAAACAUAUUGGAAGGAGAUCAACGCAGCCAUGGCCCUAACAAACCUCGCCCAAGGGAAGGACAAACUGCAGGGAACUACCAGCUGCAUCAUCCAGAAAUCCUCACAUAUAUCAGAAGUAAAGACUGUUAAAGUGCCAUUAGUCCAGCAGUUUUAAAGAGAUGAGUUCCUUUUUUCUUGUCAAGCGGACAUUUUCCUCACAGGAUUGGUUUUCAGCAAAAUCAGAUUCACAGAUAUGAGGCAGAUGUGGAAAAUAGAUCCCCUUUAACAGUACAGUCAGUUUGAAAAAACAGUGUUCCUUCAGAUUCUGACGUUUUCAUUGUAUUAAAUGAAAUGUUUGAUUGCUUCUUUAAAAGGCAUGUAAAUUAUAAAAAAAACCUGUUUUUAUCAAAACAUUAACUUAUUUUAUGUUAAUCAAAGUGCGCAUAAGGUGUUUGCAUUGCUAUUACAGUAAGUGCCUUGCUUUCAAAAAAUAAGCUAUAACGUGGGCAUAGUACAACAGUAUUAUGCCUCAAAAUGACAAUGCCAUAAUGCUUAAACUUAGUGUAUUAUUCCAAGUGGGCUUAAGCAGCCUAGGGCUAAACACAUUACUGCUGGAGGCCCUGGAGAAUUGUGCAUAAUAGACUUGACCAAAUUGACAAGUCUUAAUAAAAUUGUUACAUCGAUUUUUCUCUUUUUUAAUCAACAGUGUUAUAAAAAUUGUACAGUAUGUUUUGUCAAAGUGACAAUGAGAUUGUUAUGCAUGUUUCUUACCUGUAUAUGCAGUAUAUUAAAAUACCAAAAUCAUUCCUUUGAAAAGUGCAAUACUCUAGAACACACAAAUUUAGGAAAUAAGUUAAUUGUUCAGAUUAUUUUGAACUUACACAUACGCUCCCAGACAUGUUGCUUGUUAAAGAUUUCUAGUUGAGAAGGUUCUAGCCAGACUAGCUGUAAAGUCCAUUUUCUAUUGUUCUAAAGCUUUGCUAGUGACUUACAGAAGUUUUUAUAUAAGUAAACAAAAUGGAUCUCUUCUUGUACAAACCUGAAUCUAUAGUGCCAUUUAUUAUUUACAGUGGAGCUCAAAAAUGUUUUCAUGGUGAAAAUUAUUACUUCAAUGUGUUUUAAUUUUAUUUUAUAGGUACUGCAUAGAUGAGAACAGUUGAUUGACAGUUCACAUUUCAGUGAGAAAAAGCUGUAGUAUACACUAUCAAAGCCCACAGUAGUAACACAAAUGGGACUUGAAACAUUGAAAAAUACCAACAUUUGAUGUUGGAGGGUUUUAAAUAGAUACUAAAAUGUAUUAAAUGUCACAUUCUAUACUUGACUGCUGUUGAGCAUAAUAACUACCAUAAAGCCCAGUUUAUUUUAAGGGUUUUCUGGGUUGUACAAGUUAUUCUUAAAUCAUAUAACAAUAGUCUGAUGAGGUUUACAGUGCUUGAAUGGAAUGUACAUGAAAGCAAUUUACAGUGGCAAAGCCAAAUACAAUUUAUACUGAAUGAGUUACAGAAAACUGGAAAAGAGCUGAUUGUUGCUAGGAAUUGGAUUUUUUCUUCCUGUGGUUAUCCUGUCAGGUUUUUUCCUAUUUAUCUCUCUCCCCUUUCCUCUUUCAUGAGCCAUCAGUGAACAAGAUAAGACUUCAGUCCUGCUUCCACUGAGUUUAAUGGCCAAAUUCCCACUUCACUGGAAGCAGUACUGUGCUAGUGAUUAAACUAACUUGCAAGUAUAGGCUGUUCCAGUUGCACUAAAAUAGUCAAGACACAUUGCAAAUAUCAGCCUUGGUGCGACUUCUUAGGAAACUUCUUGAUGUAACUUAACAUGUUGUUGGGUUUAUUUAGUGUACAAUGAAAAUGAUUUGAUAUGAGAAUAUUUUGUACAUAUAUAUUUUUACUUUGUUUUCUAAAUUGCUGAUUUGCAUUGACUUAAAGUGCCAAGCAAGAAAUGUAUGUUGUCAUGACUGUAUGAACAGUUGAAGUAUAUGUUUCACUGACUCGCAUCAUUAUGUGUCUAAGAUUCCGUGACAUUAAUUUUUGAUACUUUACUGGAUUUUGACAUAAUAAUGUGAGUUUAUAACUAAUAGCAGAGAGUUAAUACUUCACUUUCGUUCAUACUAUUAUAAGUUAUUCUGGUAUUAAAUAUUUUGUGAAAAUAAAUCAAUGAUUUUGACAAACUUUUCUGUUAGGAAUAUUCACAGUGUUUUUGUCUGCAUAAAUGACAACAACAAUUGUCAUGUAAAAAUGGUAUCUUUGGUGACUUCUCUGGAGCAAAACUGGAGAAGACAAGCCAUACUAUAAACAACUUGUUCAUGGUUCUUUCUUUAAAAUAAUCAAAGCACAAAGAAUAAUCUGUAAUACACAUCAAGUGGAUUUAAAUUUAAGAAAUACUUGGCAUAAUUUCUUGUUACUAUUUCCUUUAAUUUAUUUUUUUUCUACUGCUGCUUUAGAGUUUUCUGAAAACACAAAUUCUAAUGAAUUAUUUGUGUGUCUUUUUUUAAAUAACAAGAAUCACAAUCAGUGCUGAGCCAACAGCUAAUGAAGACUCAAUAAUUAUUUAUGAUAUUGGAAAAACAAACAUUAUUACUAUAGCUCUUCUUUGUUUCAACAUAUGUAACCAUUUUAGUAAAAUAAAUAACUGCAAACAACA